GGAGCAUGCAUUCAGUAUUAUUAUUUUAGUUAACUUAAUAAUACGGAAGUGUCAAUUAAAUUUAAGUCCGGUCAAAAAAAAAAAGAAACAAUUUCAAUUUGUACAUAAUGGAUGAUAUGGAUGUAAUAUAUUAUGAGGGAAUUGAACUCAAUCCAGAAUUUAGCAAAGAUGAUUGGGCUCCUGUUGUCGUAGUACCGCUUUUAGCGACCGUGAUGUUAGCAGUCAGUGUUUGUCUCCUUGUGAUUUAUCGACAUAGUCCUGCUUUUGUUAUUAGCAUUGUCGCUGGUUGUCUUGUAACUGUUACCGUUUAUUUACUAUUGUCAGUUGUAACUUCACCCAAAGAAAUGUUUUAUUAAAUAAAAUUAGUGGUUAAUA